rnacentral:rRNA from 1 species
UACGUAGGGGGCAAGCGUUAUCCGGAUUUACUGGGUGUAAAGGGAGCGUAGACGGCAAGGCAAGUCUGAUGUGAAAACCCAGGGCUUAACCCUGGGACUGCAUUGGAAACUGUCUGGCUCGAGUGCCGGAGAGGUAAGCGGAAUUCCUAGUGUAGCGGUGAAAUGCGUAGAUAUUAGGAAGAACACCAGUGGCGAAGGCGGCUUACUGGACGGUAACUGACGUUGAGGCUCGAAAGCGUGGGGAGCAAACA